rnacentral:rRNA from 1 species
AUUGAACGCUGGCGGCAGGCCUAACACAUGCAAGUCGAACGGUAACAGAAAGCAGCUUGCUGCUUUGCUGACGAGUGGCGGACGGGUGAGUAAUGUCUGGGAAACUGCCUGAUGGAGGGGGAUAACUACUGGAAACGGUAGCUAAUACCGCAUAACGUCGCAAGACCAAAGAGGGGGACCUUCUGGCCUCUUGCCAUCGUAUGUGCCCAGAUGGGAUUAGCUAGUAGGUGGGGUAACGGCUCACCUAGGCGACGAUCUCUAGCUGGUCUGAGAGGGUGACCAGCCACACUGGAACUGAGACACGGUCCAGACUCCUACGGGAGGCAGCAGUGGGGAAUAUUGCACAAUGGGCGCAAGCCUGAUGCAGCCAUGCCGCGUGUAUGAAGAAGGCCUUCGGGUUGUAAAGUACUUUCAGCGGGGAGGAAGGGAGUAAAGUUAAUACCUUUGCUCAUUGACGUUACCCGCAGAAGAAGCACCGGCUAACUACGUG